rnacentral:lncRNA from 1 species
UUUGCCAACACAGUACAAAGGCACCAGGUUGAUCUUUAAAUGCUUCCCCGAUGCUCCUGACGAAUAAUGAGAGUCUGCACCUAACACUUAAUUGGCUUUAACUGCGCUUUUCUGCCAACUUGAUUAUUAUAUAUCCAUCUCAUUUCCCAAUUUAGAUCAUUGCAGUUUAAGUCAGAUGCACCCAUGAAAGAGCGUCAUUAACUCUUCGGAAAAGCCCUGCCCGGCUGACUCUCUCUAGCUAGCACCUGUGAACCCUCUAAAUGGAAAGUGGAAAUUGAGGGUCGUGUCCAAGGGGACCAACCUGCCAUUUCCUCAAAGAUACUGUCACGUGAAGAGACACUGACACAUGUGACCAGUGGCUUCUCCAUCAGUCUUACUCCUCACGGCUCCCACUUUCCUUCCUUCAUGCAGCAUGGCAUGUUACCAGAUACUCUGAGUUCUGGGUCUAAACCUGUGGUAUCUAUGAUUUCAUAAAGGCGGUUCAAAUUAUAAAUGGAAUUACAAAUGAUUCACUUAAAAUGAAUGAAGGGACCUUUCUUUCAAAAGAAUCUUAGGGUUUUUAUUUUAUUUAUUUCAGAGAGAGAAAAAGAGAGCAUGAGCAGGGGGCUGGGGGAGGGAGAGGGAGAAGCAGGCUCUCCAUUGAGCAGGAAGCCCAAUGCAGGACUUGAUCCCAGGACCUGGGAUCAUAACCUGAGCCAAAGGCAGAUGAUUCACCGACUGAGCCCUCCAGGUGCCCCAAGACUUUUUAUCCUUAUGUAGCAACAAGAACACUGCAGUUCUACUGGUCCUUCAAAUCUUCUCCUGUGCUUUCAGAUACUUUCUUAUCUGACACUCACGACCCCCUGUAAUUUUACUCCACAGAUGAGGAAAUUGUGCCUUGAAAAGAACCCAUGACUCAUCCAAUAGGAUAUAAUAAAUCAAAGGAGUCAGAGGCUGGACCUAACUCUCAGGCCUGUGUCCUUUGUUGUCAUAGAAUGCCAUAGUCCAUGUUCCCCAGCUCUGGCGGCUUUCCAAGCUCUACCCCAAACACUGAGCAGAUUGGCAUCCUACCUGCCGACUUCCGAGUCAGGAUGCCUCCUGUCCCAAGAGCUCUUCCUUCCCGUGGACAGCAGAGAACAGGUCUGCAUGCCUGUGUCUUCAUCCUGUUUGGUUUUGAGGUGUUGCCCUAACAACCAACUUGACUCUAGCAUCCUUGGGUACCACAUGCAAAGCCAGGCAGGGUAAAGGACAGAUGUGAGAGGGCAGAGCACCUUUGCAUCUGACUCACUUACAAGAAGCCAAUCCCAUCAAGGCCACCAACCAGUCCCCAAGCACCAUCGUGAGCAGCAAGGAGGCUGGCAUCUCAUUAUGGGUGGAAAAUAUGGAAAAGCAAGCUGACGAGAUUCUACUAAGUAGGGAAAGUAGAUUAUGAAAUAAUAAUCACAGCAUAAUUAUAGCUUAAUUAAUACAGAGAGAAUGACAACGUCUGAGAGUGAAAAUGCAUGCUAUGCCCGAGUAAUUAUUUCUCAGGAGUAUCAUAAUCAGGAGCUACUUAUUUUUUAAAAAUGUGUCUCUACAUUUUUAACCUCCAGCCAUAGACAGGCAAUGCUUGAGUAGUACCCUGUGUGACAGGCUGUGCACUCCCUGUCACUCCCAGCUUGGUGAUCACUUGGUCAACCACUGUCCCACUGCCCCUCCCUCGGGUCCCUAGGGGUCAGUAGAACCCACACCGAAGCACCGCAGGGCCGUGAGCACUUAUAAAGCUGCUCCUAGUUUGCAAGAGAAGCAUCUUGGAACCCCCUGAGGACCUGGGGCUGAGAGAGCACACAUCACUGACACUCAGCAACAACAACGGCCCUGCCACCACCCAGGCAGUGGCCACCGGUUCCCAUCCCACGGCCCGAGCACUCAGGUCACCUGUAAGGAACUAUCUGUGGGCAUAGACGUGUGUAUAGAUAUAUGAGGAGAAGGGGGUGGGGAGGAGGGAGAGAGAGAACAAGACCAGAAAAUACUUGGGGAGGCAGGGUUGAACCCACAGUAAAUGUUAAAAAUAUAACUUCUUUGUAACCAGCAAGCAGCAGUGUCCUGUGGAAGUUGGAGGCUCUCCAGCCCCGGAGCAGGUUGGGGAGACAUGCCCCAUGCUCUCCGUCCCAUUCUGCGGGCGGGGAGUAGGGACGCACCUGCCCCGAAGACGCAUGAUGGGGAGCAGGACGCAGGCUGGCUCAGGGAGGAUCUGUGCUCAGCGCAAGGCUCUGACGGCUGACCCCAGCCCUCUGGAGACAGCAGGCGUCUAGCCCUCAUGUCACCCUGUGAUUUCAAGUCAUCAGUCCUGAGGUCAUGUGCAGGCAGUAGGUGACGUUUUGAAGACAGUGUUCACCCUGCCGAAGAGGAUAAGCAUCUUGAACACCCUCUAGGGCUCCAUGUCCCUGGUCAACAGGAAGUCGUCCUUACUCAUGCCUAACGUUAUCAGGGCUCCUGCCUUACAUCUGAUCUGUUGGCCUGCCUGUGAUCGUUCCAUACGAUUAUUUGAACAGUUUUUACUUUCUGUUGUGCAUAAAAAAUGCGCAGAUGCAGGGCAGACACUUAGCUUGCCUCUGCUAGGUACUGGGCCAUGCUUGAGCAUCCCACACCCCACCGUCUCGUGAUCCUUGGGACGAUCGAGCAUAAGGACAGAACUGGCACCGCCAUUCACGAGUGAAGAAACAGAGCCCUAGAGAGGCUAACUAGCUGACCCAGGGUUGCACGGCUGGUAUGCUGCAGAGCAGAGGCUCACCUUGUGUCUGCCCCUCGCGUCCAUGCUUUGACGAUGAUACAAGCCUAUGUGGCACAGUGACAAAAAUCUUUCUUAUGUAUGUGUCGCAUGUAAGUGUGAGCUGCCGCUUCUUCUGGUGGGGCUAACGCUUCUUUCUAAAGUAACCAGAGUGAGGCUGUCCCUUCAGAUCAUCGUGGAUCAUGAGCUCAGCCAGCGCAACCAGACAGAAGCCCCAGGCUCUCAUUUGAAGAUUGAGAUGCUCCAAAUAAGGAGCAUGAGAUGCCGAAAGCACUUGAGAAGAGACAUCCAUGCAGAGGAUGAGGUCGUGCUGCCAAAACCCACAGGGGGCCCUUGUCACAGCCCCUGAGCUGCCAGGUCAAGCCACACCUGAAGGCAGCCUUCUUUCUGAACCUUCUGUGACAGCCUGCAAUGGAGAUCUUUUAUUGCUCAAGUUAUUGUUCACGUUGGUUUUCUUCUACUUGCACUCGAUCCAUAAUUUGGUCCAGGAGUGCAAUGUUAUUAUGAGCAGCUUUAUACGGAAUGAGGUAGGCAGUGAUUGGUCAUCCUUGAUGUUGGAAAGUGAGCGUAUGGCUACAGGACCUUGGGGGGUCAGGGGUGCUUAGAUGACAUAGAGCUGCAGGACUCGGGACAUCCCAGUGGGAGAGUGCCAUGUGGCUCAGGGAAGAGAUCACCCGGAGCUGGAGCUGGCCACCUCCUGCGGACAGAGAAGAUGCAGGCGACGGCUUGGUGUGCGGCAAACCUGUCACCCCACAGCGUGCAAUCCAAAGUAGGGGCAGUUUGGAGACCAAGAGCCUGGUGGGGGGCAUGGAGGGUGUCCCCCCGGGGCUGAGCCCAGUGUCGGCUGGGAAGUAGGGACUCAAUAGAGGGCAAGAGGGAGGCAGGGGGAAGCAUGAUCCUUGAGCCCUUCCCAGGCAGCCACACCCCCAUCUCCCGGACUCAAGGUAGAAGCUGAGCCCUGUGCGAUGCCCCCAGGCAGGGAGGACAUGCUCCUUCCCUCCUGCCCCAGGGGUAAGGCCACAGCCCUGAGAUCCCAUGUAGAGCAGAGGGAGGGCCUGUUCCAGGAGCCCCACUCCUGCCCAGCAGCUCCAGCUCAUGUGGGGCUGACAAACACUGCAGCUCGGUUACUAAGCAACUGACAGGCAACAGAGGGCUGAAGCCCAACUUGUUAAAAAUCUUGUAUUGGCAAAAAAAAUUAAAAAUUAAUUAAAAAUUAAUUAACUAAAAAAACAAGCUUGUAUUUCCAAAAAAAAAAAAAAAAAAAAAA